GACGAGCGAGCCAAGCAAGGCUCGCCCCAGAAACCUAACUACGCCGGGACCCGGCGACACAGGUCCCGCCUCGUAGGGCCGCGCCAAGGCCUGCGUCCCAAGGCUGCUGUUCCGGUUUUGCGCCCCGGACUCCAGACCCUCGCCCCGCCCGCCUUGCCAGUUGGCCAGCAGAGGGGAAAGCCCGGGCUGAGCUAGGCCAGGGAAGCCGGGGUGGAGGAGGCUGAUUUGCUGCGCCCUCCCCCUGCGGGCUGCCCACGCCAUCUGCCCGGGAGAGCGUGGGGACGCUCUUCCACCUGCGUGCCGGUGACACGGGCUUACCUGGUUUUCGUCGCCCCGCCGCAGAUCUGGCUUUUGCUACUCGCACCUCCCGCGUGACCACUGAGCCCACUGGGGACUCAGCCUCAGCAGCAUCUGAUAGAAAUACAAAUUCUCAUCUGCACUUCAGACUCAUCAACGGCAGAGCUGACUUGGACCUGGGAGGAGGAGAGGAAAGUCAAAAGCACUGGACAAUACCUCAUUUGACAAAGUUGGACCCUAAAGUAACAGAAGAAAGCAGAACAGUAAACAUCCAAAAUGAUUCAGCAGUAGCACACCUGAACAGCCCAUAAUUUACUCUGACUCCUUUUCCCAAAACCACUUGUCUCUGCUCUACACUUACCCACAUUGUGUAUAUACAUCCCAUCUCAAUGUAUUGUCCAGCAAAAAAUGAAGAAGAAAUUGUUAUACAGGAGCUUUUUUUCAUUUUCUAGAUAAAAUAUUGCUGACUUAUAACUACUGGCACAACUUAUUGAGAGCACAUCCAAAUCUGAUUUUAAAAAUUUUUAACUUUCAAAAUUCAGAGUUUUAUGAUAGCUAUACUUCAAAUUCCCAUAAAAUCUUAGAAAAUCAA